rnacentral:lncRNA from 1 species
UUUUUCGCUUUCCUUCUAAGGCAGCCGCCGCUCUUCCCAUCUUUGCAGAAGGUGAGAUUAACCCAUUAGAAAGUCUCCUGGUUGGUGGUGGAGGAAUCAAGCUCCUGCAUUGAUUUACAUAGCAACAGGUUAGUCAUAAAUGUGGAUAAACACCAGAAUGCAUGUUAUUUCAUUUGACAUAUUUGGUUGGUUCUCUUCCUUGAGUUGGCAUAUAGAAAAGCUAAAGGUUUAGAAAGCAUGUGUCCACUGACAAUUAUUCAUGUUGCAGACCUAAUAAACAGAUAAAAGUGUUCAGUUUACGCUUUUAGAUGAGAAAGACACAGACUUAAUGGAGAAUGGAUAAAGAUGAGGCACACCCAAAAAUAACAAGUUAAAUGCACUCAUGAGCUACAAUACCUUAUUUCUGGCUUCUUCACUUGCUUAGGACUAGGUUUUUUGAGUUUGGAUCCCAGUCCAUUGGGAGUCUGACUAACCUUCUGAGGAUUCGGUUGCCAACCGUAUUCAAGCUCAGAAGACUCACUUGUUGCGGCUUCCAGGUCAUCGAAAUCAUCUAUGGAACCUGCUUCAGACCGAGUCCUACUUGCUUCGUAGUCUUGGCCUUCCUUUUUGUUUCCUGCAACUUUGUUUAUAUGUUGUUCUGGAUACACCUUUGAACUAUCAGGUGGGCAUUUCCUAUAUAACAGGUCAGGUGAAAUCCUGGUUUCUUCUUCCCAUCCUCUUAAGGAAUUACUUCUACUCAGACCAUCUUGCUUAUUCACCAUAAUUUUGUCAACCCAAUCACCAGAAACUGAUUCUCUGUCCUCUUCCCUUGAUACAGGAUUAUUGCCUGGUGGAGACGGAGGAGAAUUCGUCUGGAAGUCUUUGGGAUCUAAGCUUCGCCUUCUCAUUUUUGACGUAGAUUUCUUCUUAACCUGAGAAAAGAUUUGAAAACAUCAACAACUUUGAGCUUCCAGUGCAAGUAAACUGC